AAUAAGAAGGUUUUGAAUGCUUUUCCAUUCCCAUGGUUGACAUCAACUUUAUCUCUCGCUGCUGGAUCUCUCAUCAUGUUAAUCUCUUGGGCAACGAAAGUAGCCGAAGCACCAAAAACCGAUCUCGACUUCUGGAAAUCCUUAUUCCCUGUAAGCAAUUUAGGGCUUUUUUAGGUUUAAUUUCAUCUUAUAUCUAAAUACAAACACGAGUCUUAAGUUUUAAGCAACUACAUGAUCUGGGUAUUGUGUAAUUCUUCGUUUCAUACCUGGGUUCUUUGAAUAUUCAACGAAUCAUGAAAAAAAUUACUGUUUUUUUUUUAGGUUGCAUUAGCACAUACGAUUGGCC
rnacentral:lncRNA from 1 species